AUGCAAGAAGAAUUUCUUAACCUUACAAGACGAUCGAAACACAAAGGAAAGAGCAAAGAAAUUAAGGAAACAAAUCAAAUCAUGGCGUGCGCCAAGAACUUGCGGCGAACGAUGAUGAUAAAAAUCGAUGCGAGUCUAAGAGCUAAAGCUAUGAUCACCCACCUCCUCGAUCACCUCCAACAUACGUACGUGAGCCAUCCAUUAAUGUCUGUCGCCUCCUACGCUUGCUUGCCUGGCGCUGCUUCAAAACCCUACAUGCGCGUACGUGCCGUUGAUCUGAGGACCCAAUGCAUGGCAUGGAUGGAUGCAUCCAAUCCUUGCACGUGUAUUGCUGACCUCGCUCCAUCCAUCUCCACCGAUCAUGGCCUCCACGCGCUCGCCCACACCAGAGGCUGCUCCUUCCAAGCGAGGAACACGCCGGCUCCGGCCGCCGAGUCAUCCGUGCCGGCCUCCCGCAUCGACCAGCCCUCCCGGUACCGGCGCAGAAGCGACCGCACGUCGUCGGCUACGUCCUCGCUGAAUGGCACCGGUGAGAACCCGGCCGACCGCAACCGCCGCGCCCACGCCGCCGCCGUCUCCCGCCGCUCCAUGGACUCCGACGCUGGGCACGAGACCAGGUCAACAAUGGCACGCCCUGCUCCCCUCUCCAAUGCCAGCCUCUCGUUGCUGGUCUUGGGGAAGCUCUCCUCUAGCGAGUCCAUGUAA
rnacentral:rRNA from 1 species